GUUUCGCUGGCUUAGUGGUUAGAGCGUCCGCCUCGGAUGCGUAAUGUCGUAAGUUCGAUUACCGGUCGAGUCA